AUAACUUUAAUACUAAAUUCUGAAGAUACUUUUCUUCUACUUAAAUAAAUAAAAAAUGGAAAAAUAAAAACACCAAAAUAUCCUUGUGGACAGUGCAAUAAAAAUUUUGGUAAAACGGUCAUGGUAUUUUAUGUAAGGGAAUAUGGUAUCAUUGUAAAUGCACAUCUUUCUCUUUGGAGGAAUUUAAAAAUUUAGAGAAAUCUAACAAAAAGUGGAUUUGCCAUAAGUGCAUGUCUAUUGAUAUUACUUUGGGCUUGGAAGAUGUAAUAAUGAUAUAACUCAGGAGCUCUACUCACAACAAGCAAUAAUUAAAGCACUAAAUGAAGGAAAUACAGUAAUAAGACAACUAUGGAACCAUAAAACAUUCAACUUGAAAAUAUAAUAUUAAAGAAGGAAGAAACAAUAAUUUUACUGGAAAGGCAACUCAACUUGAAUAAUCAAACUAAAAAUCCUAAAAGCGUUAGUGAUGCAUUGAGACCUAAUGCAGUUAAUUUUACAACAUAGUUUUCCCAACUCACAAUCCACACCAGUCAGCACUAGUAGACCAUAUAACAUGGUGUGGAACUCUCAUACAAAUAAGGAUGUAUCUUUUACUUUGGCUGUUAAAGGAAAGAUGUGAUGAGUGAAGGAAUGAUGGUGAUCAAACAAAUGUGCAUAGAGUCUUCUCUCACCGAUGAUCUAGUAAGGACAGUUGACAAAAAAAUCCAAGAGAACAGACAUUUCACCAUGACAACGCUAUCUGAUGAUUUCCACAAAUUUCACGAACUCUUUUGUACGAAAUUAUUAUGGACCGCGUAGGUUAUCGUGUACUGUGUUCCCGAUGGGUUCCGAAAAUGCUCACUGACGUGCAAGAAACCAAGAGACUCGGAAGUGCUUUGAAUUUUCUAACACAGUACAGUUAUGAUGGUGAAGAUUUUUUUUAAACAAAAUUGUGACAGGUAAUGAAAACUUGGGUCUGUCACGUCACACCAGAAUCCAAACACCACUCGCCCUACAGCUCUGACUUGGCAUCAUCUGACCACCACUUCUUCCUGCACAUGAAGAGAGCAAUCUAGGCAACCUACACUUUGAAACCGACGAUGAAGUUAAAACAGCAGUGAAAGGUUUGGGCUUUCAUGAAGAAAUAAAAUUGUGUUAAAAAAUUG